UACGGGGGGAGCAAGCGUUGUUCGGAUUUACUGGGCGUAAAGGGCGCGUAGGCGGCCAGUGCAAGUCAGUUGUGAAAUCUCCGAGCUUAACUCGGAAAGGUCAACUGAUACUGCUCGGCUAGAGUGCGGAAGGGGCAACUGGAAUUCUCGGUGUAGCGGUGAAAUGCGUAGAUAUCGAGAGGAACACCUGCGGCGAAGGCGGGUUGCUGGGCCGGCACUGACGCUGAAGCGCGAAAGCUAGGGGAGCGAACGGG
rnacentral:rRNA from 1 species